rnacentral:rRNA from 1 species
GGUCAAGUUAGAAAGGGCAUAUGGUGGAUGCCUUGGCGCUAAGAGCCGAAGAAGGGCGCGGCAAACAGCGAAAUGCCCCGGGGAGCCGUAAGCAGGCGUUAAUCCGGGGAUACCCGAAUGAGGUAACUCCCUACAGGUAAUGCUGUAGGAUCGUACGAUGAAUACAUAGUCGUACGAAGGCAACCGGGUGAACUGAAACAUCUCAGUAACCCGAGGAAAAGAAAUCAAGUCAGAGAUUCCCCAAGUAGCGGCGAGCGAACGGGGAAAAGCCCAAACCAUUUGCGUGUCAAGCCUGCAUGCGUUGCGCAAAUGGGGUUGCGGGAGGUAUCCGGUAGUAUAGCAGUACUGCCAGGGAGUAAGAAACCACUGCUUUAGGGGAAGCGGCCUGGAAAGGCCCGCCAGAGGGGGUAACAGUCCCGUACCUAAAAAGGCAGAGGCUCCCGAUACCCACCCAAGUACCACGGGACACGAGAAACCCCGUGGGAAUCCGGGAGGACCAUCUUCCAAGGCUAAAGACUACUUAGCGACCGAUAGUGCACUAGUACCGUGAGGGAAAGGUGAAAAGCACCCCGGGAGGGGAGUGAAACAGAACCUGAAACCGUAUGCCUACAAGCAGCGGGAGGACUUUGGUCUGACCGCGUGCCUAUUGAAGAAUGAACCGGCGAGUUACGGUAUGCAGCGAGGUUAAGUACUAAAGGUACGGAGCCGUAGCGAAAGCGAGUCUGAAUAGGGCGAAUAGUUGCAUGCUGUAGACCCGAAACCGGGUGAUCUACCCAUGGCCAGGGUGAAACGGGAGUAAAAUCUCGUGGAGGCCCGAACUACAUCGGCGUUGAAAAGCCGUGGGAUGAGCUGUGGGUAGGGGUGAAAUGCCAAUCGAACCCGGAGAUAGCUGGUUCUCCCCGAAAUAGCUUUAGGGCUAGCCUCAAGUAUGACUAAUGGAGGUAGAGCACUGAUCGGGAUAGGGGCCCUACAAGGUUACCGAACCCAUUCAAACUACGAAUUCCAUUAGCUUUAAGCUUGGGAGUCAGACAGUGGGGGCUAAGCUUCAUUGUCAAAAGGGAAACAGCCCAGACCGCGAGCUAAGGUCCCAAAGUGUAUGCUAAGUGGGGAAGGAUGUGGAAUUGCUCAGACAACCAGGAUGUUGGCUUAGAAGCAGCCAUCAUUUAAAGAGUGCGUAAUAGCCCACUGGUCGAGUGAUUUUGCGCCGAUAAUGUAACGGGGCUCAAGCAUAACACCGAAGCUGCGGAAUGUACAACAUUGGUAGGGGAGCGUUAUCCAGGCAGCGAAGCACGGCCGUAAGGCCAGUGUGGAGCCGGGAUAAGAGAGAAUGCCGGUAUGAGUAGCGAUAAGACAGGUGAGAAUCCUGUCCGCCGAAAGCCUAAGGUUUCCUGAGGAAGGCUCGUCCGCUCAGGGUUAGUCGGGGCCUAAGCCGAGGCAGAGAUGCGUAGGCGAUGGACAGCCGGUUGAUAUUCCGGCACCACCAUGUAACCGCUAUAAGGAUGGGGUGACACAGGAGGGUAGGCAAUGCGCACGGAUGGAAAUGUGCGUCCAAGCCAGCAGGGUGCUGACCAGGUAAAACCGGACAGCGCAAGCCCGAGAGGUGAUGGGGAGCGAAACUUAAGUAGCGAAGUUGCUGAACCCAAACUGUCAAGAAAAGCCUCUAACGAGGGGAUAUGGUGCCCGUACCGCAAACCGACACAGGUAGGCGAGGAGAGAAUCCUAAGGCGCGC